UCAGGAUGAACGCUAGCGACAGGCUAACACAUGCAAGUCGAGGGGCAGCACGGGAGUAGCAAUACAACUGGUGGCGACCGGCGCACGGGUGAGUAACGCGUAUGCAACCUACCUAUCAGAGGGGAAUAACCCGGCGAAAGUCGGACUAAUACCGCAUAAAACAGGGGCACCGCAUGGUGAUAUUUGUUAAAGAAAUUCGCUGAUAGAUGGGCAUGCGUUCCAUUAGGUAGUUGGUGAGGUAACGGCUCACCAAGCCGACGAUGGAUAGGGGAACUGAGAGGUUGGUCCCCCACACUGGUACUGAGACACGGACCAGACUCCUACGGGAGGCAGCAGUGAGGAAUAUUGGUCAAUGGGCGAGAGCCUGAACCAGCCAAGUCGCGUGAAGGAAAAGAAGGAUCUAUGGUUCGUAAACUUCUUUUGCAGGGGAAUAAAGUGCGGGACGUGUCCUGUUUUGUAUGUACCCUGAGAAUAAGGAUCGGCUAACUCAGUGCCAGCAGCAGC
rnacentral:rRNA from 1 species